CGAGCCAGACGACCGCCCGCCUUCGCGCCUUCGGCGCUUCGGCGAGGCUAGCCCGUGUCCCGGACACCGAGCCGCGGGCGUGCUUCGCUGAAGUCCGGAGGACGAAGGCGAGAGGAAAGUCCGAACUCCGCAGGGCAGUGCGCCGGGUAACGCCCGGUCAGGGCAACCUGAAGGACAGUGGCACAGAAAACAUACCGCCGGCCUUCGCGCCGAGGGCGCGAAGGCGGGUAAGGGUGAAAAGGUGCGGUAAGAGCGCACCGCGCCCGUGGCAACACGGGUGGCAGGCAAAACCCCGCACGGAGCAAGACCAAAUAGGGAGGGACCGGGGGCGGCGGAAGCGUCGCAGCCGACAGGACGGCCCGUCCUGCACCUCCGGGUAGGUCGCUCGAGCCCACCAGCAAUGGUGGGCCAAGAGGAAUGGUCGUCGCCAGGAGGCUUCGGGUCACACCGGGUCCAAGCGGAACAGAAUUCGGCUUACGGCUCGUUGC
rnacentral:RNase_P_RNA from 1 species